GCUGUGUGACCUCAGAUCUGACUGCUCUGGAAAGAAACAGCUGUGAGUAGCAUUUUGGAAUUCCUUUCUGCUGUGGCAUGAGAGUUGCAUUUUACCUCAGUCUUUUCACCUUAGCUCUUGCCUGACACAAGCUGCAGGCUUGCUUGUGCGUGCUCUAGCACCUUGCCUUGCCUGCUUCACUUCAGACUGGCCUUAUAGUCUGAUUGGUCAGACAAUCAGGCUGUUGGCUGGCCAUGGUCACUGUCACAAAAUCUGCACUGCCCUUCUUAUUCAGGUUUUUAUGACACACCCUGUGGAUCUACAUUUCACAGAAUCAGAGAAUUUCUUUCAUCUUCUUUUCAAGAGAAAAGCAUGUGGACCCUCAACCUUUUAAUAAGUGUUGUGUCAUCCAGAGAAAACUAGAAACAGCUGUGUCCAAAGGAAAAGACAAUAUGAAGUGACAACUUAUGCUGGCCUGCAGGAGUUUGAUCACAUUAAUUCCCUAAUGGAGAAGCUAAUGUAUGUCACCACUCCACCAUGUGUAAUCAUCUCAGACUGGAGAGAAUAGUAUUUCCUCCAGCUGAAUAAGUUUUGAUCAAUUCUCAAAAUGUUACUGCAACAUUCAUUUUUAUCUGUGACUGGUAAAGAACUUUAAUUUAAAUAUUACCACUUGUUGUUUUCACUUCACAGUUUUAAAGGAAUUCAGUGAAGUGAAAGUGUAAAUGAUAUAAAUGAUAAAUAGAUAAUAUUAAUUCAAAGAGUAUCAGUAUUUGUCAUGCUUCAAGAACCUGCCACAUACCUAUGCCUAAGCAGCUGCUCAGCUCUUACCUGAGGCUUUGGGAUUAAAGUAGCCAGUGGUCAACCUUACUCAGCAAAUUUUUUCUUUCCAACAUAGCUAGUGGGUUACUGUGAUUAAUGCAAUGAAAGACUUGCACCUUCUGGUUCCAACUAAACAUGCAGCAACUUGAAGUUCAUGUACACACUUAUAUAAGUGUGUACAAACAAAAUGGCUGAAAGAAUAACAGAUAUUUUCUGCUUGCAGGACAUGGUUAUACUAUAAGAACUAAAAUGCUGAACAAAUUAUAUGAAAUUAAAUUUUAUUAAUUGUUUUCAUUAUUACUAGUCAGUGUGUACCUGUAUAGAUUUGUGAAUGUAUAAAGCCAGAAUGCCAUUUCUGUUACCUGCACAGUUCCAGUUAGACAACUGAAGAAAAGUACUAUAUCAUCAGUUUUCAUCUGAAUUUAUGGUGCUCAAGCAACUGAACAUUUAUAACACUUAAAAGGCAAAGAUCAUUAAAUGUAGUUAUCCAGUGUCUUUGCAUGUACCUACGCAAAAAGCUCUUUAUGCUUCAGGCACUCACAAAACCACUGCCCGCAUUCACCCCUGUGAAUAAAAGCAUUAUAUAUUGAUGGAAGAUCUUUGCA
rnacentral:lncRNA from 1 species